AUGAACGCUGGCGGCGUGCCUAAUACAUGCAAGUCGCGCGAACGGACGAGAAGCUUGCUUCUCUGAUGUUAGCGGCGGCCGGGUGAGUAACACGUGGAUAACCUACCUAUAAGACUGGGAUAACUUCGGGAAACCGGAGCUAAUACCGGAUGAUAUUUUGAACCGCAUGGUUCAAAAGUGAAAGACGGUCUUGCUGUCACUUAUAGAUGGAUCCGCGCUGCAUUAGCUAGUUGGUAAGGUAACGGCUUACCAAGGCAACGAUGCAUAGCCGACCUGAGAGGGUGAUCGGCCACACUGGAACUGAGACACGGUCCAGACUCCUACGGGAGGCAGCAGUAGGGAAUCUUCCGCAAAGGGCGAAAGCCUGACGGAGCAACGCCGCGUGAGUGAUGAAGGUCUUCGGAUCGUAAAACUCUGUUAUUAGGGAAGAACAUAUGUGUAAGUAACUGUGCACAUCUUGACGGUACCUAAUCAGAAAGCCACGGCUAACUACGUG
rnacentral:rRNA from 1 species